GCAAUGUGCCCUUGACUCUGGGAUAAGCGCUGGAAACGGCGUCUAAUACCGGAUACGACGAUCGGAGGCAUCUCCUGGUCGUGGAAAGAACUUCGGUCAAGGAUCAGCUCACGGCCUAUCAGUUAGUUGGUGAGGUAAUGGCUCACCAAGACGACGACGGGUAGCCGGCCUGAGAGGGUGACCGGCCACACUGGGACUGAGACACGGCCCAGACUCCUACGGGAGGCAGCAGUGGGGAAUAUUGCACAAUGGGCGCAAGCCUGAUGCAGCAACGCCGCGUGAGGGACGAAGGCCUUCGGGUUGUAAACCUCUUUUAGCAGGGAAGAAGCGAAAGUGACGGUACCUGCAGAAAAAGCACCGGCUAACUACGUGCCAGCAGCCGCGGUAAUACGUAGGGUGCAAGC
rnacentral:rRNA from 1 species